GGCCGACUAGCUCAGUUGGUUAGAGCGUGGUGCUAAUAUUGGUGUAUCUUCACCGGGUAACGCCAAGGUCGUCGGUUCGACCCCGGCGUUGGCCA